UACAGAGGCCUCGAGCGUUAGGCGGAAUCACUGGGCUUAAAGCGUGUGUAGGUGGAUGCCUAAGUACCUUGUGAAAUCCCACGGCUUAACCGUGGAACUGCUGGGUAUACUGGGUGUCUUGAGCCACUCAGGGGCUACCGGAACAAGCGGUGUAGCAGUGAAAUGCGUAGAUAUCAGGAGGAAUACCGAUGGCGAAGGCAGGUCUCUGGGCUGACACUGACGCUCAUGCACGAAAGCGUGGGGAGCAAACAGG
rnacentral:rRNA from 1 species